CCUACGGGAGGCAGCAGUGAGGAAUAUUGGUCAAUGGGCGGGAGCCUGAACCAGCCAAGCCGCGUGAAGGAAGAAGGCGCCAAGCGUCGUAAACUUCUUUUGUCGGGGAACAAAGGGCGCCACGUGUGGCGUUGUGAGUGUACCCGAAGAAAAAGCAUCGGCUAACUCCGUGCCAGCAGCCGCGGUAAUACGUAGGGGGCAAGCGUUAUCCGGAUUUACUGGGUGUAAAGGGAGCGUAGACGGCGCGGCAAGUCUGAAGUGAAAGGCAGGGGCUUAACCCCUGAACUGCUUUGGAAACUGCCAUGCUAGAGUGCUGGAGAGGUAAGUGGAAUUCCUAGUGUAGCGGUGAAAUGCGUAGAUAUUAGGAGGAACACCAGUGGCGAAGGCGGCUUACUGGACAGUAACUGACGUUGAGGCUCGAAAGCGUGGGGAGCAAACAGGAUUAGAUACCCGGGUAGUC
rnacentral:rRNA from 1 species